AACUUGAAAAAAUCACAAAGAAAGAACUGAGUAGAUGCAUUCAGCGAAGUAAAAGCCAAUUUAUUGACAUUUAUCCUCUCUCACUUUGUAGCACUCU
rnacentral:ribozyme from 1 species